ensembl:lncRNA
UCUCUACCUGGAGAUCCCUUCUUUUGGAGAUUUUUAGUGAGCCUUGAGACAGUAAUGUUGAGGAAUGUUUCCUGGCUAGCUGAGCUCUCCCAGCCUUACUGUCUUCUCAGUCUAAAUACAAGGAUGUCUGUCCUAGAGUUCUUAACAGUAAAUGUCACAAGGUGACAAGCAGCUGGGGAACUGAAUGACAGUGAUCAUAGAACAAAUGGUCAUACUGACAAGAUAGAUCAUGGAGUUAUUUUUCUUUUUGCUGUGGAUUGUCCAUGUUUCCAGGAAAUAUUCACAAGAAUGAAGCCAUCAAAUCUGCCAUUUCCUCAUGGUUUCCAGAGGCUCCUCGCUGUCCUUUAGCUGUUAAUAUCCCAUUCAAGAAAGGAGUCUCCAAGAAAGAUGGGAUAGAAAAUGAAUGCAGUCCAGAACUCUAAUUUUUGGAGGAUUGCUGGGUGGUGUGAUUGAUAUCAUGCUUUAUCACUUCUCCUUAGUUCUGCAUCUCACCUGAGGGGAGCAGGGCACAGGAAGGAGAGGUCUUCUCUUCACAGUAAUAUUAAAAACAUUCACAAAGUGUAUGUUAGUGCUUACAGGGCUCUACUGAACUGGGAGGAGUAGCACUACUUCUGCAGUAUUUUUUUAAAGUUUAUAGAUGGGUGUAUUGCAAAGGAGAGCUGAUUUCAUUCCUUGCUUUGGUACAGCUUUGCUGUGUGACCUUGGGCAAGCCACUUAACACCUGUGUUUCCUUAUUCCCUGCUGUGUAAAAUAUUGCUGAUGCUUAUCUAGAUUAAAAAAGAGCAGCGAGGCGAUGUUCAUUAAUUAUUGUUGGAGAGUGUUCUGAGAUCCAAUCCAAUAGAAGCAUAGGAUACAAUACUUUGCCCUUCUAGAAUACAUUCAUUUGAGGAGAGUAAAGCAUUAUAUCUUUUACUUUAUGUGAAAAGAAAGAACAUUAAAACACCGCUUGGAAACU